rnacentral:rRNA from 1 species
GACAGAGGGGGCAAGCGUUGCUCGGAAUUACUGGGCGUAAAGGGCUCGUAGGCGGCCAACUAAGUCGGACGUGAAAUCCCUCAGCUUAACUGGGGAACUGCGUCCGAUACUGGAUGGCUUGGAUUUGGGAGAGGGAUGCGGAAUUCCAGGUGUAGCGGUGAAAUGCGUAGAUAUCUGGAGGAACACCGGUGGCGAAGGCGGCAUCCUGGACCAAUAUUGACGCUGAGGAGCGAAAGCCAGGGGAGCAAACGGG